rnacentral:misc_RNA from 1 species
GAUGAAGAACGUAGCGAAAUGCGAUAAGUAGUGUGAAUUGCAGAAUUCAGUGAAUCAUCGAAUCUUUGAACGCACAUUGCGCCCCUUGGUAUUCCAUGGGGCAUGCCUGUUCGAGCGUCAUUUGUACCUUCAAGCUUUGCUUGGUGUUGGGUGUUUGUCUCGCCUUUGCGUGUAGACUCGCCUUAAAAUAAUUGGCAGCCGGCGUAUUGAUUUCGGAGCGCAGUACAUCUCGCGCUUUGCACUCAUAACGACAGCGUCCAAAAGUACAUUUUACACUCUUGACCUCGGAUCAGGUAGGGAUACCCGCUGAACUUAAGCAUAUCAAUAAGCGGAAGA